ensembl:lncRNA
CCUUGUGAGCUGCAGCCCUCUGCUCGUCCACUUAACUGUAUUCUCGUGGUCUGACUCUUCUUUGCGUCCUGAACAACUCCAACAUAAUACUACUGCUAUUAGACUGCUAAUACCACACCAGCACCACUGAUACCACUGAUACUAUGGCAUACUUUUGCUGCCACAACUGCUGCCACUGUUGCUACUAUUAUUGCUAUUACUAUGAUGGUCCUGCUGCUGUUGCUAUUGCUAUUAUUUAUUUAUUUAUAUUUAUCUUUGCAGUACUAGGGCUUGAACCCAAGGCCUUUGCACUGAUGUACAUUCCUAGCCCUUUUUAUGUUUUAUUUUGAGACAGGGUCUCCCUAAGAUGCCCAGGCGAGGCUAGAAGUUGUGACCCUCCUGCCUCAGUCUCCCAGACUACUGAGAUUAUAGAUGGGAGCAGCUUCGUGGAAGAUGAGGUUCAUCAUGCUGGAUAUGUGGUAACCAUGAAGGAUGAGGUGAUCCUAGCUGGGGCCCCUUCCUAUUGGCUGUUUGGCACAGCGUGCUGAGCUCUGGGCCCUCAUACAGGCACUCUGAUGGUCAAAGGGUAAAAAAGUAAAUAUAUGUACAGACUCUCGCUAUGCGUUUGCUACAUCACACAUCCAUGGCAUGAUUUACUGAGAGUGAGGUCUUCUCAAGGCAGAAGGGAAGCAAAUUAAAAAUAAACAGGAAAUUAUACAGUUGCUAGAGGCAGUGUGGGAACUUAGCAAAGUUGCAGUAAUACAUUGUUCAGGAGAUCAGAAAGGCAAAGACUUCAUUGCACAAGAUAACAAUAAGGCUGACGCUGAAAGCUGAGAAAGACAACAUACUCAAAGCCCUGUUCUCACCACUCCAGAAGCUUGUGAGCCAAAACACAGCUGAAGAAUGGGAGCACCAACAAGGAUGACAUGGAUUAUUGUGUUAUGCCAGAUCACCACUGCUUUAAGUUUCUUUGUUUUCGAACUGCAGGUGUUUAGGCUUAGUAAUGAAAAGUUUGAUGAACACUAUGUGACUUUUAAAAUGGUAAAAUGGGAAUCAGAAGGCUAUCCAUUUACAGUAUUCUUUGAUGCUUGCCCAAAAGAAUAUUAUGGGGGACCUGGGGUAACUUCUGACUGUGGGGGCUAUUCUAUUGAGAAAUUAUAUUGCAAAGAAAAAACAAGAGUCUAGGUCAACAGCUCCCUUGUUGGACAAGCCUCAGGGAAUUGUAACAAUUGUAAACAAGGUUAGUGUAACCCUAUAUCUAUGUAUAUGUCAACCCCAUGGGAUGCUAUUUAGCCACAAGGAGUAAUGUAUCAAAUUUAUAUAGGAAGCUAUGCAUUCAUUUCUGAAAUGCCCCUUCAGGGUUAUUGGAAAUGGUACAUGUUUCCUUGGGGGACAAAGGAACAAUGAGAUAAACAACACCUGUAUAAAUCUAGUCUUGCUAAAGGAAGAAAACAAUAUAUUUCAUUAGGGCAAGAAAUUAGAAAAGAUCUUGAGGAAAUUCGAGGGCAAUUCAGGCUUUAGAAACCCAACUAGAUUCACUGGCCAAUGUUGUAUUACAGAAUAGGUGUGCUCUCAAGUUGCUAACAGCCCAGAAAGAAAG